UUAACGUCGGCUGUAACUAUAACGGUCCUAAGGUAGCAAAUUUCCUUGUCGUAUAAGUAGCGACCUGCAUGAAAGAUGGAACGAUUUGAUAGCUGUGAUGCAUGUUUGUGUUGGGGAAAUAACAUUUGGUGUGAAGAUGCACCAAGAUAGUCAUGGGACAACAAGACCCUUUGAAGCUUUAUUG
rnacentral:rRNA from 8 species